rnacentral:rRNA from 1 species
GACGAACGCUGGCGGCGCGCCUAACACAUGCAAGUCGAACGGUGAAGAGGAGCUUGCUCCUCGGAUCAGUGGCGGACGGGUGAGUAACACGUGAGCAACCUGGCUCUAAGAGGGGGACAACAGUUGGAAACGACUGCUAAUACCGCAUAAUAUAGCUUGAAGGCAUCUUCGUGCUAUCAAAGAUUUAUCGCUUAGAGAUGGGCUCGCGUCUGAUUAGCUAGUUGGUGAGGUAACGGCUCACCAAGGCGACGAUCAGUAGCCGUGCUGAGAGGCAGGCCGGCCACACUGGAACUGAGACACGGUCCAGACUCCUACGGGAGGCAGCAGUGGGGAAUCUUGGGCAAUGGGGAACCCUGACCCAGCGACGCCGCGUGAGGGAAGAAGGCC